rnacentral:rRNA from 1 species
UACAGAGGGUGCAAGCGUUAAUCGGAAUUACUGGGCGUAAAGCGCGCGUAGGCGGCUUGACAAGUCGAGUGUGAAAUCCCCGGGCUCAACCUGGGAACUGCAUGCAAAACUGGCAAGCUAGAGUAUGGUAGAGGGUGGUGGAAUUUCCUGUGUAGCGGUGAAAUGCGUAGAUAUAGGAAGGAACACCAGUGGCGAAGGCGACCACCUGGACUGAUACUGACACUGAGGUGCGAAAGCGUGGGGAGCAAACAGG